rnacentral:ncRNA from 2 species
UCAUAAAAGCAGGGGAGCUUAUGGAGCUGAGAUAUGACAGGAAUAAAUGUUCACUGUCAUGACCCUUUAACUUGACCCAGAUAAUGCUGGCGCAAGGAGAUUUCAGGUGAAUUCA